rnacentral:lncRNA from 1 species
UCUGUUUGUGCAUUACUUUGGCUGGAGGCAAAAAGGAAAUGAUCAGAAAUUACAAGUCAGGAGGAAGCUGUUAUACAAACCUCAGUGGAUGUAGUACUUGUACCAGAAAUGUUGCCAAAAAUGAAAGCAAAUGAUAAUCUGGAGGAUUAUCACUGAGCUGCCUGUAUCACAAAUCUGUAGCCUCAUCUUGCAGAUACUGUUUCUUCUUCUUUUGAUGUUUUACUUCUGCUGCACACCUACUUUUUCAUUUUCCAAUUGUGCAUAUAAGAGCCAUUGUACUUUAUUCUAUGUGAUGUCAUAUAAAUUCCUCAGGUGGUAUAUCAUUUGCCGGUGUCAGCGCUUAUAAUUCAGAGGAGGUAACCCGCCUGAUAUCACAAGUGACAACCUGUUGAUGUUUUUUUUUUUUUUUGCUGCGUAGGAAAGGAGUUGCUAGGCGCUUUUUUAGUCAGCAAUUAAUUUCAGCUCCGGCCAAGGGUGGGUGUGACGGUCCAAAUGGCUCAGAGGGUUUGACUGCCUGCCAAGAAAGUGUGAGAGCAAAAAACAGAGAGAGAGAGAGAGAGAGAGAGGGAACACGAGUAAGAGAGAUUUCUUCAGCUGACUUUAUUUUUAUGACCGGCAAACCACAGUAAACAAACAAAAGAGCACAUAAAUUGUUCAUGGACUUCCCUCGAAAACCUAACCCAAGAACGGCUCUGAAGCAAGAACCAAGUCUGAAGGAUGACAAACAUUCAAGAGUGUUUGAAGUUUGAUGUGUUUUUUUUUUUUUUCAUUGAACCACUGAGUAGAUCAUGCGAUGAGGGAAUUUAUAAACUCAGCCUUCAGACGGUGUUGAGCUGAAACUGUAAGCGGUGAAUUACAACCUCCCUUGACUCUAUCCAGACACCCCAAAAGGACUUACUACAGAACUCACUGCAUCACGCUGAAAUGUGUCUCUGCGUCGUUCCAAAUGAUGACUGAAAUGUCAACCGUUCAGCCCAGAACGAAUGUGUCUGCAGCCGUGUCGCCUUUUUAAUGUUAAAAUAUACAAACUUGAAUGUGUAAUGUUUGUUUAGACAGGCACAAGACGGACUGUCAUUUUCUCAUUUCUCUUCCUGCUCAGCUGGAAAGAAGCUGUUUUGACAGUCAAAUUGAAGUAUACUCCCACUAGAGCGAAAAAACACUCUCAGUGCAUGGAAAUAAAGAUGUCACACAAGUGAGAAGUCAAACAAAUACAUCUGAGGUUUAACUUAUAACAGGGAGCACCUGCCGGCUCGGUGUUUUUCUUAAAGGAUUCUCACCUACAAAUAACAAAAGUCAAAGACUUAAAGGGAUACUACAGCGUAAAAUUAAUUUAUGGUCAAACACACCGCAAUACCGAGUUAGACAUCACGUAGAGAGAUGAAUGUUGCUGACCGCUUGCUUCUCUAGUUAUACCAAAUUUAGUAACGACCGCACAAUGGCAGUACACAGCGGUCUGAGGAGCCAGAUACAAACCUCAACCAAAACGCCACUCCAUAACCACAAAUAAUGUUUAGAACAGCACCUAACUUCAUCAACAAACAUCUUUUUAUCUUUGCCUGGUUUCUUUAGCAAAAACACUAAACACAAAUCACCCACUCUCUUCCAGCAGCCGCUUGUUUGUAGUGAGACCUCAGACUAGUCCAUCAUUGACGGCUGCAGGGUGAUGCAGCUCAAGGAAGAACAUUUUAGAGUUAAGGUGGUGUUAUAUCCCAGGAAGACACACACAUCAAGCAGCUAGUAGGCCACAAAAAAAAAUUUAAAAUGGGCCUUUAGCUUACAGCUCUGUCAGAAAGUGUUGAUCCCCAAAACCAGGUUUCACACACUGAAAUGUAACACAGUCACUUGGACAGUCAAUGAUUUCACCGACACUGGUCACCUGACUCGACAGUUCCCUUAGUGAAACAUUUUACUAUCUCUAAGAUCACUGUUUUGGUUUCUCAACCCGCAACCUCAGCGUUUCACUCUUCACUGCCAUCAAACCUGUUUCCAGUCACAGCAGGUAAGAGUUUAAUGAAAAGAGAAAAAAAAACACACACACACGCACGCACACACACACAAACCUUUCCCAACAAGACUUUGUGGGGCUAAGUCAGAGAGAGAACAGUGGAGCAUUCUACAGCAUUGGAAAAUAAUGUUUUACAUUAAAGGCAAACUUCUGUGUUUUUAAACCUGGGCUCUAUUUUCACAUGUGUUUGUGUGUGUGCUCCACUGAUGAGGGGAACAAUUUCUCAAAGUGGCCCAGUAUUGUGGGAGAGCGGAGCAGCUGGCAGCCGUGAAAUGAACUAAAAUUUAUUUGACUAGUCAAUCGCAUCCUCAAGCUGUGUCCACUACAAGUGCUUUAUUUUAUCACUGACAGGCUGAGAUUUUUAUUUCAAGUCCUAAGAAUAGAGGAUGCCCAGAAUGGCAAGGGUUUCCCCACUUCUACCAGUCUGUGUGCAACCAAAUCUCGCUGAAGUCUCACGAGAUCUCACUUGUUGCAGAAAGACAAGACAAUGGUGGACAAGUGAGUGAGUGACACCGGGAGAGUCGGAGACCAGCACAAGUGGAAGGUGAGGGAACUGUACCUUUACUUGAGCAGAAAGCAAUCUUUGUUUGGCAGCUACAUUAAAGCAAAUCUUAGUUAUAGUCUUUUGAAGAAGAUGUAUUAGUGACUUAUUUGUCUUUUUUUCCCUCUAGAGUUUAAAUAGUCUAGUCAGCACGCACUCAAAUCAUUUAUCCUGAUUUUUAGAUAUAAUCUUUACCGGCCCAAUUAGCCAAUUAACCUUUAAAGCAUCAUUUCACUCUCUAACUUUAUCGGUGUAAUAGCAGGAUUCUUUACUUUGGCUGAAUAAUUUCGCCUAAACUCGCCAACAUCACAGUGCAACUGGGCUGUCCCUACGACAGGUUUUGUCAAGGCCUGACUCUGAUCCACUUUGCUGUAAUCAUUAACUCUGCUGCGAGUACAACUAAUGGAGGCAAACAACAUCUGGACUCACUAAAGCACUAUUAGCAGCUCACUUAUAAUUGGUCCUGACCCCUUAUUCUGAAAGGUCAUUGGUCAGAAAAGGUUGGGUAGUUUAGGAACAGGAAAAUUAACUUCCUGUUAUUCAAUGAUAAUGAGCGCAUUAGGUGUAAAGUUAACUAAGGGUCAUUACAAAGAGAGGAGGUGACACGCACACAGCUGCAUGGAUUUUGCAGAAAAAAGUCCCUUGAAUUCAUUCAAAUAGGAAACAGCUCUAAGUGAAAAAGCAGUAUGUAAGUGUGUAGUUAUUUUUCAGUAUGACCGUCCUUUCUUUACACCUAUUAAAUAAAGCCACAUGAGAACGAAUACUGCAAGCAGCCUGCAAAUUAAAUCUGAAUGUUGGCUUUCAUUCCAGUUUCAUUGCACUGUAAUGCCUCUGAAGGUGAAAUACCUUCUCAGGAAUCCUUUCAUCAUUAUUGGAUGCCCGAUUUUUGUUCUCACAUCCAAAAUACAUAAACUUUGACUGUAAUCUUUGAAGCUUUAUGCUGCCUGCAGCGAUUGGAAAAUGUCUCACUGAGGCGACUGGUCCCGUACGGAGACAGAAAGAGCCCGAGGCUGGCUGCUCUGCUUCUAACUAACUCCAUAUGGUGCAGGUCUGGACAUCCAACUGACUUCUAAGACUGUUGCAGACUGGUGCAACGUAAACUUAGCAUCUCAUCUGUGCAGGGGCCAUGGGCAAACCCCCCUCCCUGCUGCUCUAAGGAGAAGCAUCUGUCCCCCAUCGCUUUCAAUAUCCACCUCGCCCAUCGCCGAAGGCUCUGACAUUGACGUGGCUUACAUCAGAAAUCCGAGACAGCUCAAAGAAUUCACCAUUUAUUCAAGUUUAUACACAUCAGACAGGAAUUAUCCUAAAGAAUCAGAGAGGCCGUAAGUUUUAAUAACUGCUGCUUAAGAAUUUAGACAAGCGGGACAGAAAGACUUCCCUUCUCAGGUUUUUGUCAAAGUCUGAGACACUUGGAUCCUUCUUUCUGUGAGAAAUUGUCUUUGAGAACUCUCCACUGAGCAAGAUGGUGAAAGGAGCUGCUGGCAUUGGUGAAUGAGCAGAGUAAGAAAGAGUACAACAGGUAACAAGGACCUACUGCUGAGAGACAGAUGGCUGAGCUGCACAAUGAGAGGCCCGUACACUAACGGGAAGCUCUGUGUGUCUAAAUGUGAACGAGUGGGACUGUCUUUUCUUCGCCCCAUAUCGAUUUGUCCAAUGAGCGGUCGGGGAACGUCUCAUGAAUGACGGUUUCUCAGAACAGUUACUGACAUUUCAUUGGAGGGGAACUCAUCCUUCCCUUUAUAAUGAGCCAUGUGAAUGUGGCUGGAAGCAUAAGAAGAAGAAUACAUAUGUACAUGAAUGCAUGAUUCAGUGGUGUCACAGUUAGGUUAAUAAGUAAAAGUAUGAAAAAAACAUCUAAUGGAUCAUUUUACUGUAACCAGAUAAUUUACAAUUAUCAAUUGAUUCGGUUUUUUCUAUUUAAACAUAAAAAUGGUUUACGCUGUUGUUUAAGACACAUCUUUAUAUCUUUUUUGUUGUUUUCACAGGUGUGGAUUAUGAACCUGUAUCAACUGCAGAAAGGGGUACUCUAUAGCAGACAUUGGACCAAGUCACACAUGUCCAAGUCUCAAGUCUUAACCUUCAAUCUCAAGUAAGUC